UAAGAAGUCAGGCCUGCCCACUGAUUUUAUUAAAUGGCCGCAGUAUUAUGACUGUGCAAAGGUAGCAUAAUCAUUAGUUUUUUAAAUGAGAACUGGAAUGAAAGGUUUGAUGAAAAAAUAACUGUCUCAGGUUUAUAAUUAAAAUUUUACUUUUAAGUAAAAAGGCUUAAAUAUAAUAGGAAGACGAGAAGACCCUAUAGAGCUUUAUUAAAUUAAUUAAUUUUUAUUGAGGGUUUAAUGAUUAGAGUUAUUUGAUUUAUUUUUAUUGGGGUGAUAUGAAAAUUUAAUUAACUUUUUAUUGAUUUAUACAAUAAUUUUUGGAUUUUUGAUCCUGGUUUAGGAUUAUAAGAAUAAGUUACCUUAGGGAUAACAGCGUAAUUCUUUUUAAAAGUUCAAAUUUAAAAGAGAGAUUGCGACCUCGAUGUUGGAUUAAAAUUAACUUUAGGUGUAGUGGCUUGAAAGUUAGGUCUGUUCGACCUUUAAAAUUUUACA
rnacentral:rRNA from 1 species